AGAACGAACGCUGGCGGCAUGCCUAACACAUGCAAGUCGAACGAACCCUUCGGGGUUAGUGGCGCACGGGUGCGUAACGCGUGGGAAUCUGCCCUUCGGUUCGGAAUAACAGUUAGAAAUGACUGCUAAUACCGGAUAAUGUCGCAAGACCAAAGAUUUAUCGCCGAGGGAUGAGCCCGCGUAGGAUUAGCUAGUUGGUGAGGUAAAGGCUCACCAAGGCGACGAUCCUUAGCUGGUCUGAGAGGAUGAUCAGCCACACUGGGACUGAGACACGGCCCAGACUCCUACGGGAGGCAGCAGUGGGGAAUAUUGGACAAUGGGCGAAAGCCUGAUCCAGCAAUGCCGCGUGAGUGAUGAAGGCCCUCGGGUCGUAAAGCUCUUUACCAGGGAUGAUAAUGACAGUACCUGGAGAAUAAGCUCCGGCUAACUCCGUACCAGCAGCCGC
rnacentral:rRNA from 1 species